rnacentral:rRNA from 1 species
UACGAAGGGGGCUAGCGUUGCUCGGAAUGACUGGGCGUAAAGCGCGCGUAGGCGGCUACUUAAGUCGGAUGUGAAAGCCCCUGGCUCAACUGGGGAAGUGCACCCGAAACUGAGUGGCUUGAGUACUAAAGAGGGUCGCGGAAUUCCCGGUGUAGAGGUGAAAUUCGUAGAUAUCGGGAGGAACACCGGUGGCGAAGGCGGCGACCUGGGUAGAUACUGACGCUGAGGCGCGAAAGCGUGGGGAGCAAACAGG